UGGCCUCGGAUAUCAGUGGGCUUUUUAUUUAUUUACCACGAAUUCCCUCGCUGGUGCGUAACGUACGCAGAGUGCCGUGGUAGCAGACUGGGAGCACGUACUUUGCCGGACCCUGAUGGGCAUGGCAUAUGCAAUUGGCAGCGUGAUGUGAGCAAAACAACAGUUCGGGGAAGGCCAAAAGGAUUCGAGACAGGAUGGACGGACGUCUCUGAUCAUCUCUGAAUGAGAAUUGGAUGAUGGAAUCUGGUCAGUUACGCAUCACAUCAGUGUUUUCUGCUGUCAUGAUUCCUGGCCUCUGCCUGCCUUGCCUCACCCUGUUCUCUGUCAGAACAACUCUCUCGCCGUUUUCUGCCGUUACGGUGAGCGAACUCUUUUUAAACUCUUGAGGGCACAAACACUUGAGGGCAUGCCCAACGCUCCAAGCGUGGUCUCACCCCCUCGCGAGGAGUAUAUUCACGUUAGCUUGGCCGAGACCGCAUCCUGGCAUAGCGCUGCGACACCCAGAGAAGUUUGCGUGGAUUUGUCAGCUUUUGAUGAGGAAAAGGUGAAGAAUGGAUGAGGAACCGCGUUGAGGGAGAGGCGUCGCUACAUACCGUAGCCCCGGGACAUUGAGGCCAACUACCUCGCGCCACCGCACCUCGAUCUGCCGCUGCCGCCGCUCGAUCUACCCCUGCCACGCCUCGAUCCGCCCCCACUGCCGCUCGAUCUGCUGCCGC
rnacentral:lncRNA from 1 species